rnacentral:rRNA from 1 species
AACGAACGCUGGUGGCAUGCCUAACACAUGCAAGUCGAACGAGACCUUCGGGUCUAGUGGCGCACGGGUGCGUAACGCGUGGGAAUCUGCCCUUGGGUUCGGAAUAACAGUUGGAAACGACUGCUAAUACCGGAUGAUGACGUAAGUCCAAAGAUUUAUCGCCCAGGGAUGAGCCCGCGUAGGAUUAGCUAGUUGGUGGGGUAAAGGCCUACCAAGGCGACGAUCCUUAGCUGGUCUGAGAGGAUGAUCAGCCACACUGGGACUGAGACACGGCCCAGACUCCUACGGGAGGCAGCAGUGGGGAAUAUUGGACAAUGGGCGAAAGCCUGAUCCAGCAAUGCCGCGUGAGUGAUGAAGGCCUUAGGGUUGUAAAGCUCUUUUACCCGGGAUGAUAAUGACAGUACCGGGAGAAUAAGCCCCGGCUAACUCCGUG